UCAGGUGAGUUUGGUGCAGGUUCUAAUUGAACAUCCUCGGGAGUCUCUAAUAUCUUUCUUACCGGUUCAACUCCAACUUCAUCACCACCCCAAGAAAGCACUACAUGUUAAUUGUGUUCAGGUUUAAUGAUUCAGCUCUCAAACUGCUGGAAAUGUGGGACGGGUUCUUUGCUUCACCAAAACUGCUUUAUCCUGGAGACGAGGUGUGAGGUGAGACUCCUGUCAGACAUCAGUCCUGUUCACAGUGUGGAUCCUUCAGUAGAUCAGAGAGCAGCUUCACUCCUGAUUCUCCUGGAUUUUUACCCUUCAGAUUCAGUUCUCUCAGGUGUGAUGAGGAGUUUGACCUCAGAGCAGAAGCCAGAGCAGCACAGCCUUCAUCUUGGACAGUGUGGAUUCUCCAGCCCAACAGAGAGCAGCUUCACUCCUGAAUCCUGCAGAUUAUUAUUACUCACAU